rnacentral:lncRNA from 1 species
ACGCGUGCUAACACUGUGCGGGGAAUAGAGAAAACAUCUGAGGUGAACUUGUUUACCCAGAGCAGUAGCGCGGAGGGUGGGAGACAGGUGAAUCCUGUGGAAGUCUACUUGCUUGCGCCCACGUCUGAGUGAAUAAAGCCAAGGUGCGCCACUCUUUCGGGGUCGAUGUCGAAGGGAGACGUGAGCCCCAGCCUCUAGACUUUCACCUGCUUCUCUUUACUUUUCACCCUUGUGACCCGUCCUUGGGUCAGCUUUGAGCUCAGCUUGAGGUCUGGUUUGCACAGGUGGCGCCUGAGCCGGAACCGGAUGGGGAAAGUGAUCCCGGGGGAAAAGUCUAGUGAAUCAGUGAUGGGGAUCUGCGGUGGAGAAGAGGGGCCUGCCCGGAAAGAGGAAACACCUAAAGGGGAAGGAAACCAGAGAAAAGGAACGUGAGUGCGAGCGGAAAAAAGUCAGCGAGCGUCCGGCUGUGCUCACGGAGAGGCCCUGGUGCCCAGAGGAAGACCCUGUGCACCCUGCCCAAGGCAAGAAUGCCAAUGACCCCGAGCUUUUGAUUCUCACCGAGGAGCUGUGUUCCUCUGCCAGGGGACCAACAAGUGGGGAGAGGAGGCCACACCGUGUCAGGCACAGCCGGCCCUGGUCAGCAGAAGGCCUUCAUUUAAUUCGAUGUGAAUUUGAGACUUCAACACACAGAUUCCAUCCAUAGUGACUGGGUGGAAAUAAGUUCAGCAGAGGCCUGUACUGGGCCAUGGCCCAGCCUCUUGUAUCCCUGGGCCCCCUGAGGGGUCUGAGGACAGGAACUGCCCCUGACACGGUCUGCCCCGUGAACAGCAGCAGCAGCAGCACCAGCACGCAGCCUCCAGCGGGGUCUGUGUCACAGAGGGACA